UAAAAAAGAAGAAAAAAAGAAAAAAGAAGAAAAAUUUCAAGAAAAAGAUUCAUAUUAAAGAUCUUUGAUUAUUUUUGCUCAGAAAGCAAAGUUAAAGCAAAGUGAUUAUUAAGGUAUAUAAAGAUUUCGAGGGGAAUAUUCUGUAUGUAGCAGCACAAUAUUUUUCAAAGUGGACCUUUCCAAGCUUUAUUCUUUUAAAUGAAAUAAGUGGAUCUUUUCAUCAUUCUACACAUAAUUGUGGUAUAAAUCUUGUAAAAUAAUUAUUUUUUUAAAUGAA